CCUUGUUAUCAGGCCCUUGGGAUAGUCUAUAGGUUCCCUCUCAAACUGGCACCCACACGGAGGGCUCCGGGACAGAAGUGGCAAAUGAGCAUCCUCUCCUCUGCUGACCUCUGCCAAAAGCUGGAGUAACCUUUCGUGUGCCUCGCUGGAUUAGCCUAGAUUCACUUCCCUAGAUGACUGUUCUCCAACUGGAAGACCUGAGUGACUUCGUAGAGAGAAACACAAAAAACUUCUCGUGGUAUUCUGGCUGGAUUAUUGCUGUUAUCAACUUUGGCCAAGGAGAUUUCAUUUGCUGUGGAUGGCUGCUACUGAAGAAACUCAAAACUGGUCAAACUGAUGAGUAUAAAUGACUGUUGAAUGCUCAGCCCUAAAUGAGACAUCUCUUGUCUCAGGCAGCAUUGAAGAGAGAAUGAAGUGCUGUUGAACACUGUCCUAAGGGCAUGACAGGGUCCUGAUCUCUUCAACUCUCAACGCCUGUGAUUAUAAGCAGCAGACUCACACAAGGCUGGUCCCAUUAAUAUUCUGUUUUUUAAGACUGGGUCUCACUAUAUAGUCCUGGUCAGACUGAAAUUUGCUAUGUAGACCAGGCUGGCCUCCAUCUUAGAAGAUCUGUUGGUCUCUAUCUUCUAAGUCCUGGACUUAAAGGAUUGUAUCAUCACACCCAGGGGUGUGCACUAAGCAGUCCUCAAACUUGCAGAGCUCCACCUGCUGUACCUGUACUUGAGUGCUGGGAUUCAGAUGGCGCAGUCCUCGGGCAAGGAACACGUUCCUUCGUGUUCGAGACUUCGACCAGCUUGGCCUGGUGGUUGACUUUGGGCAAGUCAAGGAGUCUUCUGUAGCUAUGUAUGUGUGAAGGGGACGAGUCUCCUUGACACUCGCUGUAAAGCCGUAUUCUAGGUGUGAGCUUUGAAAGGAAAUGAUAUCGCCUUGGUUCCCACCCCUGGCGGGAUGGACCUGUGUGCAAAAACACAAAGUCCUCUGAGGAAAGCAGCUUUUGGUUUUAUGAUGAAAUCAGGGAAGUGGACUAAUUUAAUUCUCCACAAAAUGUAGGGAAAAUGUAAUCCUUAGAGUAAUUUAGGGAAAUUCCGAUGUAAAACAUCAUGUGAAUAAAUAAAACCGGGAUGGUUGUG
rnacentral:lncRNA from 1 species